UAUACGAUAGAGCACCACAGUGGCUGACCAAUCAGAAAGCAAGCAGGAAUUAUGAUGGUUAUAACAAUCACUACGACUUAAUUAGAAUAAAAAUGGUAGUGGAUUAGUAACCAGUUUAACAAUAACGGCGAUUUGCCCUUCAGAGAUCAUAAAGCAUUUCUUUGAGAAAGGUUUCAUUCUCGCGGAGGUAGUACAGUUAUUGAGCGUUUGACAGAGUUUAGGCUAAGGUGCAUUGUCUUAGUUCUACUUUGUUCCGUAAGACUGCUACAAUCAUAACAUGAAGGAAAUUAUACGACAGAAUUUACGUCGAAGCAAUGUCCGUCUAGCUUUAUUGACAGCUUUCUAUAUAUUGGUUUUAACGAUCGGUGCUUUGAUAUUUUGGGCUACAGAGUCUCCUGAAGAAAUCGAUAUGAUACACAUGCUUCGCAGUAAACGCUCUCAGUUCCUGGAUGACUAUUCUUGUGUUACUGACGAAGAUCUUGAAGCGUUUGUAAAAGACAUUAUUAGUGGAAGUAACAGGGGAGUCAGAGCUGUUCGAAACGUUACCAUGGAACCCAACUGGAGUUUCGGCCAAUCAGUGUUUUUCUCCACCACCGUAGUGACAACAAUAGGUUAUGGACAAGUAAGACCCUUAUCCCAAGGAGGAAAAAUUUUCUGUAUAAUAUACGGACUGGUUGGUAUUCCUCUGACAAUGACGUUAUUAUCAGCCUAUGUGGAACGUCUCAUGAUACCAGCAGUGUUCCUCCUGCAGUUCCUAAACUCUCGACUUGGACAUCUGUUCCAACCUUUCAAUAUUCGAAUGUUUCAUCUGUCUAUAGUUGGGGUUUUAGUUCUAUCUUUAUUUUUCAUUAUUCCUGCGGUCAUAUUCUCUCACCUGGAGCCAGAAUGGGACUACUUGGACGCCCUCUACUAUUGUUUCAUUUCUUUGACAACCAUAGGGCUAGGAGACUAUGUUCCUGCAGAUAGUUCUCAUCAGGAGUAUCGCCCUCUGUACAAAGUUUGUAGUGCAUUUUACCUUCUGAUUGGCCUAACGUUUAUGAUGUUCUUCUUGUCGGUGUUGUACACCAUUCCAGAACUCAAUAUUGGGAUAUUUUUCCUUGCAAAGAGUGAUGAUGUCAUCGGGACAGCCAAGACUAAUGUUCGUUCCAGAUAUCCUGGUCAGUUCGAUGAUCCCGAGCCCACAAUUCGACAUGUUAAAACUAUCCGAAGAUCCAGUUCGUCUUCUGAAGAUGAUAACCCUUGAACAUGUCGUUCGCUUUAUUUAUUCAAACUUUUAGCUUUUUUUUGUGUGCAGUACUCACACUGUUGAUGUAAGUGUAAGCCUGCAUUCACAGUGACUGCAGUUGGGUUGAGAACGUGAGUAUAAAUGUAGGAUAGUAUAUGUGGUGUAAAAUAAGUUAUGUCUUUUCCAGUUCUAAAUAAUGUACGAGAAAGAAAUGUUGUGGUAAUACACGGAUAAACCUAGCUUACAGUCACUCGAUCUCCACAAAAACAAGAGAUUUGUGAAUCUAAAAUGCAAAAGGAAAGUUGUAGCGACAAGACAAAAUAAAAAACAAACUAUUUAGGCAAAGAAUGUGGCGAAAGAUCGCCAGGUAGUAUAUUUGGACAAUUGGGUAUAGGAGGAAUGUAGGAAGGAAAUGGAAAGGAAUGAGAAGCGAUAAAUUGCAGCACACACACGAUCAGCAGGUUAAAACCCAGUAAAACAAAGACAGGAACUCCACAGCAAACCUUGGUUUUCUUUCAGAUAAAUUAUUUACUUUCCUCAGAAGUUAGAGUAAAUUUCCAUUUUUUGUUUUUGUUUUUUUUUCAAUAUACAUUCUCCCUCUCUCUCUGCAGCUAACCAAUGCGAAGAAGAGUAUCAGAAUUGAGGGAAUAUUCCUGCUCUAUGUGACAGUUGCAAGGUAGUUCUCUAUAUACGAGGUAAAGCAGUACAACUGUCUCAUGAAACAGUAGAUACAGUCGAGAAAAAGUAAUAUUUCAGAUAAAAUGUAGUAUACGAUCUCAACUAAAUUUAAUAUUUUCCAAAUCAGAAAUGCAGAAAUAAUAUUUAGGUUCUACACUACAGGAAAAUAUGGAAUGUGGGUCUUUGUUACUAAAAUAUCAGAAAAACAACGUACACACAAAAAAAAUCAUCAACACAGAAUGGAUGACGUGGAGAUAGUGGCUGUCAAACAGGCAUCAUUGACUCGGUACCCUUUCUCUCUUAGCGUCUAACUUUAACUCGAAUGAAACCUGGCUAUGGAUAACCUAGAAGAUAGAUUACGGAUCGUGAUAAUCCGUUAUAUAUAUCUAAAUUCAUUUAUCCAUUUGUGUGAACACGAAAUUCGUUUAUGUUGGGGGGGGGGGGGAACCCAGAUGGUACACACUUCUACUGCCAUGCAUAGCUAAGUUUCCCGUUACAUACAAUAUCAAAUUUUAUGUACACUUAAAGAAGACUAAUCUUUCGUUAUGAACGGACCAAACAUAACCUAUAUUAUCAAGAAAUAAUCAAAUGUUUCAAACACACUAAUUAAGCUGUGACAUGUUCUCUUUGAUAUCAUAUAGUGACAAUACUGUAUUUAGCCUUAUCAAUACUGAAGCCUUAUUUUUAUUGGCUUUUCUCAGAAUAUAACAAUGUUGCAUAAAAGUUAGGUACCCACCGUGACUUUUAAUGGUUGAUAGUCGUCUCAGCUAGCCAUAGUGGCUAGCAUGUUUACGGGUUACAAUUCAACAUACAUUAUCCAGGGCAAGCAUUGCGAUACGGCAAUUCUUUAUUAACCAGUAGAUCAGAUAUGUAUAAAUUAAUUCAGGUUAAAGUUAUGUGAUGUUUAAAGUAAUGUAUGAAACUACCAGCAUAAUUAAAACAUAGUUAAAUACGUCUUUAGUAACUCGAUGGUAAUUCUUUUACACCUACAUUAAAAUACAAAGCUUGUGAAACGCAAUAGAAAUUGUUAAUUUUAUAGGUUGCACACAAAAUAUUUACUGACAAAUCUGCUACUACUCUGAUCAUAAAAGUAUACUCUAAGUUGUUACUUCUCUCUUUGAAGGACCAGGAAUCAAGUGAUCUGCUGUGUCGUGGGUUUUGUUGGUCUGCCCUGUGAUAAAACUUUUAUAGUAAUUCUGAAUAACAACGAAAAAAAUUUGGCAUAGCCUUUCAGCUUUUUCCACGAUAGUUGUUUGUACUUUUGGAAUAAAAAUAUUUACGUAUUUUCAAAAUUAUCCACAGAUUUGAACACAAUGAAAGUAAAAAAAAAAAAAAAAAAUGUAUUUUGUUGGCGACACACCCUGUCCGCCUCGACAAGUUUGUGUUCUACUUCCGUAAUUUUUUUUUCUAUUGUAUUAUUCAGCUCAUUUUACUUAGUACUGUACAUUAAAGACAGAUGGCGUGUACAAGAUAUUUAACAGCACAUUUUUGCUAUCAAUUCCUAACUUCUGUAUCUUAUAUAUUAUGCAUUAAUUAUCCGACUUUAAGGGAAUUAAAAAAAGUUAAAACUAUAGAAUAAUGGGAUAUAAAGGAAGCGUAUAUUAGUAUUCUGAUAAAAAAGUUAGCACACAGAAUCACCCACAAAAUGUGCAAUGGAUUCGGGGUCUUUUUUUUAUUUUUUGAAUUCCUUAUAUCUUACUUAUCAUAUUUUCCAUUUCUAAAAUUUCUAAGCCCUAUGCAUGUUAGCGUAACUACAGAAGAUUCCCCAACCCCGCAUAUUAAUAGGAUAGUAAUUGGGUCCCCCAUAUUUAUUUCCCUAUAAUUGUAGUUACGAUUCUGGCUGCAUUAACUUAACUGAAAAUUCAAAAUUAAACCAAUCUUAAAAUUGCAGCUAGUGUUAAUUUUCGAAUUACACGUGUAUGAAAUUUCGAGCCGAUUAGGUUUCGUAUUGAUGAAACCGAAGAACGUAGUACGUAUGGUGGAACUGUAAUUAUGAUAUUUCCACCAUUACCACUAAAUAAGGCGGUCAGUGUGUAGACUCAGUCUGCUCUGUUUUUACUCUACCAGAAUAGUGCAACCCCCACUUUAGUAAAAAACAAAACAAAUGAAAUUAUCUGUCUCUCCCCUAUGUUUGUCAGGCCUUUCUCCCCCUACCCACGCAAUUGCGGGGACAUACGUGCGUCAAUGCUUAUGUAUCUUGUUCCUUUAUAAUUGCCCUGAAAAUUCAACGAACACGCAAAUAUUAACAUGAGUGUGUUAUAUAACACACUGAACAUUAGUGCAGUGAGCAAAAGAAAAUAACCAUGGUGAAACGUUCGGCAAAUUAAAGUUUAUUGACAAAUACGAAAUUAACGUUUUGGACAACAUCGGGUUUCUAGUGAGGAGAAAGCAAAUUUUUUAGAAGAGAUUGGGUCUAAGAAAUUAAGAAAACCAAAACAAGCAAGAACGCGUGGGUUGAAGGUUCGAGAACAUUUUUUUAUGUUAGAAUAGAACAAAUAAAGAUACGAGAAGUAACGCAUACACACAAAAUAAUAAUCACAUGGCUAACUUUGGAAUAAAUAAAAAUAAUCACGAGAAAAGGGACGGUAAACUGGAGUAAUAACAUAUAAAAAAUAAGUAGAACAAGAAUAAAAGGGCAGGGGCUCAUUUACAAAAAUAAAAUGAGGAAACUUUUAAAGCAUUGAAAGGCAAGACGUUUUUUGAGGAAUGGAGGUAUUAGGAGUGACUACUGUUGGUUGCCUCUGGUAUAAUCAAAUGUCUUUUAAUAGUUGUGGACAUUUUUUUAUUACUGAGAAAAAGAGCGGUUUUGGAGCAUAAGAGCAGAAAGGCAGGAGCUGGAGACAGCCCAGAUCCCCACCUCUAUGCACAUCACUGAACAAUGAGAGAAUGAACGCGUGCAUCGAAUAUUAUUGUCCAACGAGAUACAACAUUGAAAGGUGUAGGUACUGAAUAUAACAUCGCGAAGAAAGACAGUAAAUUUGAAAUGUGACUUAUAAAAAUCAACAUUUGGUUAAUAAAAUGGCUUGAUAUAACAAACAAACGUAAGUGAUCGAACUAGUUGAACAAAAUUAAACAAACCAAAGACCGUCAUAAGAAAGCUUAGAUCAGGUAUAAAGGAAUGUGGAAAGGGAAGCGGAUAAGGUUGAAGGAAAGAUAAUUCUUGGUUCAUUCCAAGGGAUUUAUUAGUGCUUAAUUUGAAAACCAGACGUUUUCCGGACAUUCUCUUUGUGUUACAGUGAAGGAAACAAAUGAGGGUCCUAGUACAGAGAGGCUGGAGAUGUCUGCGUGUCUACCUGUAGAUGCAGUGUGAAGAGUUACAUGCGUGUCUACCUGUAGAUGCAGUGUGAAGAGGUUACAUGCGUGUCUACCUGUAGGUUUCGUACUGUCAUUACUUCUUACAUAGAAGUGAUGUACUAUUUGCUAUGUGGCAAUCUAUUUGACCAAUGUAUGGCAUACCAAAUUUUUUACAAAUUACACAAUGUACUAGGUUCGUCGAAAUGCACGUGAAUGACUGUUGUAUUUGGAAUUUUCUAAUGGGACCAUAUAUGGAUAUUAUGGUGUUAAAAUACUGGCAAGUAACGUAUUUCUUUCUCUAAGAAAAAGAUUGAUACUGUGGACCAAAAUGAUUUUUGAUACUUUUAUCAUGUUUGUAACAGACGAGUGGACGUUCUUCAAGUAUUUCGAAGUUAUAGGGUCGUCGGUAUAUCGACAUUUUGUUUGAUGACCUGGUAUUUGAACAGAUUAUGGUAAUCGGUAUUUGAGAGUUUAUAGACUUGAGUUUAGGGCAUAAUUUCGAAUUACGGAAUUGGUGUGUUCAGCGGCUUUCUCUAUAAAUGUCCCCUUGUGGGACAGUGGUAAGUCUAUGGACUUACAACGCUAAAAUCCCGGAUUUGAUUCAUCGAGGUGGAUCCAGCAGAUAGCCCACUGUGGCUUUGAUCUCGAACAGAUAUAUACAUUCUCUAUAAAAGGCUUAGGUAAGCUCGAGAAAAAAGGUAUAAAGAAAUCUUUAAUUUAUUUAUAUCCUGAUUCGUAAUCGCUUUGUCCACUGCUAAGUCUACACAGCCUUAAGAAUUGGGUAUAUGGAAGUUGUUGGACUUGCAUGGGACAAGUAACAGCCGAGGUAAGAAUGGAAAUCGGUAAUGGACUGAUGUUGGCUUACCUCCGAGCGUCGUUUAAAUGGGAAUCGGUAAUAGACUGAUGUUGGUUAAACGACGCUCUUCAACGGAAAUGUAUUUCAAAAAGGUAAUCUCGUUCGGGAAACUGGCCACGUGAGAUGGAAGAAAUAUGCAAAUUGUUAGAAUUAUUUUAAUUCACACAAGGACCUGCUAGUCGCACCAAUAAUGUAAUCAGUAAAGCGUUCCUUGAAAGGUGGAGAAAAUCAGAUUUUCUAUAUAUCUAACAAAUAUUGAAGCAUAAUAGGGACCCAUUUUGUGUCCCAGCAACACUUUCAGUUUGUUGAUGAAACGUGCCGUUAAAGAAGAACUCGUUCAUGGUUAAUAAAAGUUCAGCAAGAGGGUAUGAGUUAGGGGGGGGUCUAAUGAAUAUCGCAGAUCCAGGUAAUAUUUGAGGGUUUUCAUACCUUCCUCAUGUGGAAUCUAUGUGUAGAUUGUUUUAAUGUCCAUAGCAAACAUAUGAUAUUCAUUACCAGAAAAUUGAAACUUGUUGAAAAUUGGGAGUGCGGUAUCACGUCUUUUAUGUAAGUUAUAGGUGGCGCUUGAGUCUCUUGUGUUGAUAGGCAAUUUUGUCACAUACACUGUAUAAUACUUUUUGAGUUGAUGAGAAUAAUGCUCUGUAUAGGAAGUUUUAUUUGGGAAGGCUGUUUAUUUGUCCAUGACAGGUGGUCAAGGGGGCUGCCCCUUGGGUGGUCAGAGAUGAACUCUCUACAUCCAUUUGGGGAGGCUAAGCCUUCUCGAGUCUCUUAUGUGCGCCGCCUCUGUGUAAGUAGGAAAGAAGAAAUUAAUCCAGUAAGGCAGUUACAUACCAAAAUGAUUGGUCGACCAAAACUCCCUGGUUUAUACAUCUUAGGAACACUGUAAAAUUCCGGAGUUCUGGGAUUACUGAGAGUCAACUUGAUAGCAUCCAGUAAGAAAUUAAACGUGUGAAUCAAAUCAUUAACGACUGUGUUAAUUUUGAGGUUGAACGAUACAGUCAGGUCGGUAGUUAGGGAACUUUAUAAGCGAUUGUCAGUAAAUUGUUCUUCAGCAAAGUUCACAUUUUUACACCACAUUACUAUUCUGCCACCUUUAUCGGCAAGUUUAACUAUGAUGUCUCGUCGUUUAGAAAGUUCUAGUAAGGUUUUGUGGUCAUCAGGGGUCAGGUUUACUUCGUAAUUUCCAUGCCCACAAAAACACGUUAGUGCAAUGAAAUAACAUUCUUCACAACAAAUAAUAGAAAAAUGGUUAUUUCAAUGUUCCAUACAACAAACGAGUUUUGACAUUCUACUCUUGUUCGUUAGUUAAGAAGUGUUUUCUUCUUCUGUAUUCUUAUCAGCUGUUAAAAACUUGUCCCAUCUUCUAGUUUAAUAGAACAGUUAAACGGGUUUUGACAUUCUACUCUUGUUCGUUAGUUAAGAAGUGUUUUCUUCUGUAUUCUUAUCAGCUGUUAAAAACUUGUUCCAUCUUCUAGUUUAAUACAACAGUUAAACGUGUUUUGUCUUCCAAGCGCUAAAUAACAUUUUCUAAAGGUGAUCCGCCUUUCAAGUUCUGUACAAGUUAAAGAACUUUGAAACACACAAUUGUUUGUUUAUAGCUAGGCGCGGAACUACAUAAUGGGUUAUUUGUGUUGUGCUCACCAAGAUAUCGAAACCCGGUUUUCAGCGUCAUAAGCCUUCAGACUUACUGCUGAGCCACUGGAGGUCAUUAACAAACGGAUUCGAUCUUACAAGGUCUAUACUUCAAAUACUAAACGUGUUCUGUACAAUAAUUAACAAAAGUCUUGUCUUUUCAGGAUUAAUACAACAAUUAACAAAGGCGUCUUGUCUUUUCAGUUGUAGACAACAGUUAAUACAUCACACAACAACCAGGAGAGCUAAAGAUUAAAAAUAACUUUUUUUUCUUUUAGCUAUCAGACAAGGUCUUAUCGGUUGUACAGAGUAAAAGCCAGAGUUUUUGUAUCUCAUCUGAUAAUUCCAAGUAAACUUAGUGAAACGUUGUGAACAAUACUUUUACUCAGUACAACCCAUAAAGAAUUACCUGAAAACUAGGACAGCUGUAGUAAAAAGGUAUGCUAUGAAACAUGUACGUUUAUUGGAUAUAGAGGAUUAUAUCAACACAAUGAGUGUACACGGCAAACAAUAUCAUUGUAUUUUAAAACAAAUCAUUUAUAUGGCAGUAGAUAUAUGGACAGCAAGGAAUUCUCAAACAAUUUAGCAGUAUACUUUAUAAAACAAUGAGUUAUAAAACCUUCAGUGUUAAUGUUUAUAAUAUGGCCAAGCAUGUAAACUAGGUAACAUUGUUAUCCUAUGUUUAUAAUAUGGCCAAGCAUGUAAACUAGGUAACAUUGUUAUCCUAUGUUUAUAAUAUGGCCAAGCAUGUAAACUAGGUAACAUUGUUAUCCUAUGUUUAUAAUAUGGCCAAGCAUGUAAACUAGGUAACAUUGUUAUCCUAU
rnacentral:misc_RNA from 1 species